GACGAACGCCGGCGGCGUGCCUAAUACAUGCAAGUAGAACGCUGAAGGAGGAGCUUACUUCUCUGGAUGAGUUGCGAACGGGUGAGUAACGCGUAGGUAACCUGCCUGGUAGCGGGGGAUAACUAUUGGAAACGAUAGCUAAUACCGCAUAAGAGUAGAUGUUGCAUGACAUUCACUUAAAAGGUGCAAUUGCACCACUACCAGAUGGACCUGCGUUGUAUUAGCUAGUUGGUGGGGUAACGGCUUACCAAGGCGACGAUACAUAGCCGACCUGAGAGGGUGAUCGGCCACACUGGGACUGAGACACGGCCCAGACUCCUACGGGAGGCAGCAGUAGGGAAUCUUCGGCAAUGGACGGAAGUCUGACCGAGCAACGCCGCGUGAGCGAAGAAGGUUUUCGGAUCGUAAAGCUCUGUUGUAAGAGAAGAACGAGUGUGAGAGUGGAAAGUUCACACUGUGACGGUAUCUUACCAGAAAGGGACGGCUAACUACGUGCCAGCCGCCGCCGUAA
rnacentral:rRNA from 1 species